GCUGCACGCACAGCCGCUGCCGGGGGUCGGGGCCAAGUGCGCGCCUCGCCGAGGACGAAGAGGCUGGCGUGCCCGGUGGCUCGGCUAGCUCCCGGGUCCCGGCCCCGCCUGGAGGAUGGAGUUCCUCUCUUGUGGCCCAGGCUGGAGUGCAAUAGCACCAUCUCGGCUCACUGCAACCUCUGCCUCCCAGGUUCAAGUGAUUCUCCUGCCUUAGCCUCCUGAGUAGCUAGGAUUACAGAUUUAUAGGAGCAUUGUGACUGGACCAAGGACAAAGAAGUUCCCAACCUCCUCAGACCCUCGCUGCUGCCCAGAUGUCUGCCAUGGGGUGGCCAUCAUCGAAUCCACUGAGGGCGCAAAUAGAACAAAAAGGUGAAGAAAAGGUGAAUUCUCUCCUUUCUUGAGCUGGGACAUCCAACUUCUCAGACAUCAGAGCUCCUGGAGGCCUUCAGACUCCGAGACAUUACACCAUUGGCUCACCUGGUCCUCAGGUCUUUGGACUUGGAAUGAAUUACACCAUUGGCUUUCCAGGUCUUCCAGCUUGCAGAUGGCAGAUUGUGGGACUUUUCAGCCUCCAUAACUUUGUCAUCCAAUUCCCAUAAUAAAUCGCCUCUUAUAUCUGUAUCUGUUUGGUUCUGUUCUGGAGAUCCCGG
rnacentral:lncRNA from 1 species